AGCAAUAACAUAUAUUUUAAUGGUUUGUAUUUGAAUAUUGAAUGAAUUAUUAUAUUUGCAAGUGACUGAAUUGCAAAACAGGUUGUUCAAGAAUGUGAUUGCAAUUCUAAUUCAGGUUUUCAUGCUACUUUUUUUAGGUUGAUAAUCAUAUUUUCUCUAAAUGUAUUUUAUUAAAGAUGAGAUUAAAGUUGUAUUUUUUUUAAUUUUUUAGAACCGAAAAUAGCAACGAACCGAACUGUAGUUAACCGUAAAAUUGGUACAAUACGGUAUUGGAUC
rnacentral:lncRNA from 1 species